rnacentral:lncRNA from 1 species
UUUGAGUGAAAAUGUAAAAAAUGAUUUGGAUUGUAAGUGACUCCGGAUUUUCAACCAGGCAUCGUGCAAGAUAUAAGAACAGCCAAAGAUCAUAAUUUAGGGAUCUAAGAAAAUGGACCACAAGAAGAAGCUCCAAGAAAUUUUAUUUCACUUGUCAAUUUAAAAUGCAGAGUCUCAGGAUGUACAAAUACUUUGAGCACUUUUGCUCUGUGGGGAUUCUGAAAAACACGUAAACACGACUCUAUUUCUCCAAACAAGAGUCCCUAAAAGCUUACCGUAAAUGAUAAUGAUGAAAAGCAUAGGUAUGACUUAGAUACAUCUGAGGAAUGCAGAGUUGAGCCAGUCCCUGCAAUUAAAUUAGAGGGCAGUGAUUAGAAAUGAGACACUACCAUCUUGUACAUUAAAGAAGUAGCUUUACGGAUUCUCACAUCUCGUUUACUAGGUGACAUUGUCAAGAUGAUCAUCAAAGUCAGCGAGGUCCAUCCAUUUUCUCUGAUGAAAAGCAAAUCUGAUAAAACAAUAUUAGCUGAUGGCUCUUUUAAGAGUAGCUUGCUGCCUCCAUCUUGCUCUGAUCAUUCUCCAAGUAGACGGGAAGAUACUCACCAAGAAAAGUGGAGCAUGGAGGAAAUAGCAAGAAAUGUUCUUGGCCACACCCACAAAGCCGCAACAUCAUCAAACCUUUCGUUCAUUAACAAUACCUAAGACCUUGAGCUAAGUAAUAAUCCUCUAUCUGAUUCAUCAAAGCAACAACCCGAAGUCAUCAAUGUAUUGUUUCAAAGUCAAGCAAAACAAUGUUUAAGGUCUCUAUCUUUUCUAAAUGAAUUCCUAGUAGACAGACACUAAGCUCUAUUAACAGCUGCUGGGGAUUACUUCCCUGUCUGUCGUCAAUUCAAAUUUCAAAGCAAUCAAGAUCCAAAAUUUACCAUCUUUACACGUCAAACGCAAUCAGAUCCUAAGCUUCAUAGUUUGGGUUUCAAACCUUCAAAAUAUGACGAGAGAGAUCUCCAGUGGAGGAAAAAGUUGAUGUAAGCAUUCUGGGAGAUCUCAUACCUCAUUCCUGAGCUCGCCAUUAAUUCCCAAUCCCGGCAUUGACUCGAUCACGAAGUCACUGAGUCAGUCCGUAACUAAGGAGAUUAGGAAAGCCGCAAUACAAAUCGGCUGGACCCGUGGCGGGAUUUGGGUACCCGUUUACCCGACCCGACUCGACCCAAGUAAUGGAUUCUUAAAUAUAUAUAUUUUUGAAUCAAAAAAUAUUUGGCUUGCGUAGAGGGAGAGAGGGAGAGAGGGAGAGAGAGAGACAGUUGUUG